GUGGGGAAUAUUGGACAAUGGGCGAAAGCCUGAUCCAGCAAUGCCGCGUGAGUGAUGAAGGCCUUAGGGUUGUAAAGCUCUUUUACCCGGGAUGAUAAUGACAGUACCGGGAGAAUAAGCUCCGGCUAACUCCGUGCCAGCAGCCGCGGUAAUACGGAGGGAGCUAGCGUUAUUCGGAAUUACUGGGCGUAAAGCGCACGUAGGCGGCUUUGUAAGUAAGAGGUGAAAGCCCAGAGCUCAACUCUGGAAUUGCCUUUUAGACUGCAUCGCUUGAAUCAUGGAGAGGUCAGUGGAAUUCCGAGUGUAGAGGUGAAAUUCGUAGAUAUUCGGAAGAACACCAGUGGCGAAGGCGGCUGACUGGACAUGUAUUGACGCUGAGGUGCGAAAGCGUGGGGAGCAAACAGGAUUAGAUACCCUAGUAGUCC
rnacentral:rRNA from 1 species